GCCAUACCCACAAAUCCUUUCUUUGGGCUGGCACAGAGGUGUUUCCAUAGUGCUUGGAUUUCCAUAUCGACCAGUGGACCAUGUACCCGAACAUCGAUUUUUAUUUAUGGGCCAUUUUCACCUCGCCGUCUAUCUAACGUCGACCGUAUAUUUAUUAGUAUUAUGUAUUUUGACGCCUGUGACGCUCUUCUAUGCUCUGUCUCUGAGUUGAGACAUUUGCCGUCUUUGUCUAACACAUCUGCAAUAUUACACAGGCCUCGGCGAAGUCUGCCAUCAAAUUUUAUCAUAUUAGUCACGCAGUCAUUCAAACCACUCGGCAGUCGAGAAUCGAUUCAACAUAUGCCGACCGCCAAACAAAGACCUGCCACCCCUAUAAGGCAAAGUGGCUCCGCCCAUCACGCAUGGCCGUCGCUAACCCGCAGACCAGAAGGUAGACACGGAGAGUCCUGGAGAUUACACUAACCUAAGAGACAGGGGUGGUCACCUUCUGACCGAAACACAGGCACAGUUUCACAACGGAGACGGAUACUUUUCACUUGGAGCAAUUUACUCGGGAUACACAGGAGUUUGCUUGCCUGGGUCUGUCACCGCUGAACGGCCUCCACAUUCACACGUCUCCACACAGUGCGACUCUUACAUAACCACAAUGCCACACGCUGCCACAUAAAUGGUGGCAAUCAAUACCACCUGACUCUCAACUCGUCAUCAGUAUUUACAGACUGAUCACUUACGGGAAGUAGUAAAGUUCUCCCUGUGUUUGAAGCAAACCAGCGUUCGGUUGAACAGGUAGUAUUUCGAGAGUGUUGCAGUGUCCAACUGAUAAGAUGUCUUUCCUUGCGAAUAUCUUUAAGAAGAAGCCGAAGGGUGAAGAAAAGAGAGAUGAAGAACCGCAGGACCCAGAAGCGAAGGAUAGGCGGCUAAAGAAGCAGUUGUCUAUCUCCAGGUCUGGUCGGUUUAAACAAAAGAACCGACAACGAGGGGGCGUGGCCGACAGACCAGAUCUGUUCCUUCAGAAUGAGGAUGAGAAGAAAUCGGAAUCGAGGCCUCAGGCUGGUUCGUCUAACUCCCCCGGUAACAGCUGCAGGGAGGUAAAUGGAAUUAUCAUUCCCGGUGGCGUCAGGUUAAAUGAACAAAUGGCGUCAUGACCUGGGAUGAAGGUCAAGGACGUGUUUCAGUUUGGACGUUCCACUGACGCUCCAGGCGCCGUGGUUACCAUCAUGACUAUUGCAAUGGUCGCGAAUUGAAUAAUGAGAUUGAGAUGUGAUUUUGACUUGGCCUGUGUGACUAAAUCAGGAACUUGUGUAUGGUGUUACGAUGGAUAGCGUUGUGGAGUAUUGACAAUUGUAAACAUGACAACCCCUGAAAUUCAACGACCAAUGAAAGUGUGGCUAGGAGUGCAAUGAUUAUGGGUAUAGCGGAUGGCAAUAGCUAACUUUGUCUGCUGGGCGCUUGUAGUCGCCCACAGCCCCAUCGGCCUGAUCUCUGAUCCAUCCAUGAUACCGUGUCUUCCAUACGUUGCGGAGCAAGGUGUAUUUCCUCCUCGGCAGAUGUGGGUGACACCUAGCGGCGGUAGCGACGUCGUCUCUACUCGCGGUUCGGAAACCAUAUGUCCGCUGGAAUUGCUUAUUUGGAAUUAAUAACUUUUUAACUUGUCGCUCGUAGCAUAUGUUCACGAGUGUGAGUGUAGGUAAAGUUAUUUGUAUAGUAUUUACAUAUCAGUAUGCGGAUUGUGAGAAACAAACUGCGGCCGGGGAACUGACUUGUUUCCUGAACACGUCUGUUGUUUAAACGUUACUUCACUGUUAAAGUAACUAUAUCUGUCCAGUCACAAUCUGUCACAGAGAAAGAAGGAACAGUUUUCAUUUUCUUGGUAAAAAAAUAAUUGUUACCAAAACUUUGUUGCAUGAAACACAUAUAAGCUGCCCGCUGGUAGUUGAAAAAAUGAUCAAAACAUCAUAUUAAUGGAUUCCUGUCAUUCAAGAUAAGAUGGUCUCCAGAGCGUUUCUGGAUAAGCGUUCAACUGUUAAACGACCAGUUCAGUUUUGGUUCCUGCCAGUUCCCUGGCCUGUGUAUAUAUAAGUCUGCUGUUUGUUAUAGUCAGUAUUGUCGCUAGACCCUAGCUGUGAUGUUCAUGAAUGAGAUUUGUAGAUAUAUUGAAUAGUGUGAAUGUUGUCCCCUCUGUAUACAGAGUGCACUUCACAGCGCAACCUCGUUAACCCGGACGGUACGUCCCCAGUGAAAUCAUCCGCAUGAUUGCAUGGCUGUAUUAGCAGAUCAUGCAAGAAGCUAUUUUAUUUUAAAUACAGACACACAGACACACAGACACACACACACACACACACACACACACACACACACAUUCCCAUCAAAAUCGUCCGUAGGGCGUGGUGUCCGGUUUAACGGGGUCCGCAAUAACGAGGUUUCACUGUUAUCAAAUUGUUUUGCUGCUAUCUAGAUCUGGCUGCGAGAAUACAAAGCCCUAUUUUCACAUACGUGUAUAAUGUAUGUUCAUACCCAAACCAAAUCAUGACGGUACAGAAACCUGUAGUUUGCAGCACGCUGCCUAGCAGUAAUUGUCUUUAUAUGACCAUGUGUCCUAGGCUAUAGCAACUUGAACUUACUUCACGGUAUUUAGGGCAAAAUACUUCAUAUGUUUAGCUUUUGUAAUAUUUAUUUUUCAUUUGAAAGAAAGUAUUUUGUUGUUUACUAUAGUGCCUUGGAAAUGGUUAUGCAGAUACAAUGUAUAUAUCUAUAUCUAUCUAUAUGAUGCUGGUAAAUCAUUGAAUGUCUCUAUCAAGCGAUGAUCGUUGCAUAGAGUGGAAGUCCCGCCGUGACAGGAUUAUAUGAGCACGCGACUUGCAUUUGAACAUAUACAUCCACAGCAAGACAACUUGUCAUCUAGACAGACACAGUGUCAGAUAUAUCGAAACACAAUCAGACAGGGACACGCAGUCCGAUAUAUCCUGAUAUACCCAGUCAGAAACAGACAGUCAGUUAUGUCCUGAUAUACCCAGUCAGAAACAGACACAGUCAGUUAUGUUCUGAUAUACAAAGACCGGUAAACACAGUCAGAUAUAUCCUGACACACCCAUUGAGGGUCAGACACAGUCAGAUAUAUCCUGAUAUACCCUGUCAGGGACACGCAGUCAGAUAUAUCCUGAUACACCCAGACGGGCAGAGUCAGAUAUAGCCCGAUACACCGAGUCAGGGACAUUCACAGUCAGAUAUAUCCUGACACAACCAGGCAGGGACAUUCACAGUCAGAUAUAUCCUGACACACCCAGACAGGGACAGACACUGUCCGAUAUAUCCUGACACACCCAGACAGGGACAGACACUGUCAGAUAUAUCCUGACACACCCAGACAGGGACAGACACAGUUAGAUAUAUCCUGACACACCCAGACAGGGACAGACACUGUCCGAUAUAUCCUGACACACCCAGACAGGGACAGACACACUCAGAUAUAUCCUGACACACCCAGACAGGGACAGACACAGUCACAUAUAUCCUGACACACCCAGACAGGGACAUACACAGUUACAUAUAUCCUGACACACCCAGACAGGGACAGACACGGUCACAUAUAUCCUGACACACCCAGACAGGGACAGACACAGUCAGAUAUAUCCUGACACACCCAGACAGGGACAGACACAGUCAGAUAUAUCCUGACACACCCAGACAGGGGCAGACACAGUCAGAUAUAUCCUGACACACCCAGACAGGCACAGACACAGUCAGAUAUAUCCUGACACACCCAGACAGGGGCAGACACAGUCAGAUAUAUCCUGACACACCCAGACAGGGGCAGACACAGUCAGAUAUACCCUGACACCCAGACAGGGACAGACACAGUUAGAUAUAUCCUGACACACCCAGACAGGGACAGACACAGUCAGAUAUAUCCUGACUCCCAGACAGGGACAGACACAGUUAGAUAUAUCCUGACACCCAGACAGGGACAGACACAGUUAGAUAUAUCCUGACACCCAGACAGGGACAGACACAGUUAGAUAUAUCCUGACACCCAGACAGGGACAGACACAGUCAGAUAUAUCCUGACACACCCAGACAGGGACAGACACAGUCAGAUAUAUCCUGACCCCCAGACAGGCACAGACACAGUCAGAUAUAUCCUGACACACCCAGACAGGGACAGACACAGUUAGAUAUAUCCUGACACCCAGUCAGGGGCAGACACAGUUAGAUAUAUCCUGACACACCCAGACAGGGGCAGACACUGUCCGAUAUAUCCUGACAUCCCCAGACAGGGGCAGACACAGUCACAUAUAUCCUGACACCCAGACAGGGACAGACACAGUCACAUAUAUCCUGACACCCAGACAGGGGCUCUUGUCAUUUCAAGCUUAAGAACACCAAAGAGACACUUUGACCUAGUGAUACUCCGCAUGCACCUCUAUAUAAACACACACACAACAGUAUGCAAACAUAUUCUUUUUUAAUGUUUGUUUGAUGCAUUUUCAACAAUGCUUACAGCCUUAGAUUAGCUCGUAGACUAGGCAUGCUUAUUUUGUUUGUGUCUGGAAAUUCAGAUAUAACGAUACAAAAGAACACAUGUAGAUUUCCCUUUUCGUCGAACAACUCCUGCAUAACCAGCCCAUGUACAUCUGACAUUAAACAUGGGAACUUGUCGGACUGCUUGUUGGGUAUGUCAAACUCGUUGUUCGAGUUGCCGAACUGAUACUGCUUGACAUGUCGGAUUAUUUCCUCGAGAUAUGUCAUAUCUGCUUGUUUUGCCGGACUUUGCUCGACAUGUUAGGCUCGUUGUCCGACGGGCUUCUUGUCGGACUUGUCGAUAUCGAGGCGUAACAGGCUGUUGCCAGCGUGUGCAGGUCAGUCACUAGCACAUCAUAGUGCGAGAAGUACGUGCCUUAUUUGUCACUUAAUUUAAUGUAUAAAGUUUUUGAUCAUCA